UACGUAGGGAGCAAGCGUUGUCCGGAAUCAUUGGGCGUAAAGCGCGCGUAGGCGGCCCCGUAAGUCCGCUGUGAAAGUCAAAGGCUCAACCUUUGAAAGCCGGUGGAUACUGUGGGGCUAGAGUCCGGAAGAGGCGAGUGGAAUUCCUGGUGUAGCGGUGGAAUGCGCAGAUAUCAGGAGGAACACCAAUAGCGAAGGCAGCUCGCUGGGACGGUACUGACGCUGAUGCGCGAAAGCGUGGGUAGCAAACAGG
rnacentral:rRNA from 1 species